AGAGUUUGAUCCUGGCUCAGGACGAACGCUGGCGGCGUGCCUAAUACAUGCAAGUCGGGCGGACGAUUAAAAGCUUGCUUUUGGUCGUCAGCGGCGAACGGGUGAGUAACACGUGGGCAACCUGCCUGUAAGACCGGGAUAACUUGCGGAAACGUGAGCUAAUACCGGAUAAUCUCCUUUCUUCGCAUGAAGAAGGACUGAAAGACGGCGCAAGCUGUCACUUACAGAUGGGCCCGCGGCGCAUUAGCUGGUUGGUGAGGUAACGGCUCACCAAGGCGACGAUGCGUAGCCGACCUGAGAGGGUGAUCGGCCACACUGGGACUGAGACACGGCCCAGACUCCUACGGGAGGCAGCAGUAGGGAAUCUUCCGCAAUGGACGCAAGUCUGACGGAGCAACGCCGCGUGAGCGAUGAAGGCCUUCGGGUCGUAAAGCUCUGUUGUCAGGGAAGAACAAGUACCGGAGUAACUGCCGGUACCUUGACGGUACCUGACCAGAAAGCCACGGCUAACUACGUGCCAGCAGCCGCGGUAAUACGUAGGUGGCAAGCGUUGUCCGGAAUUAUUGGGCGUAAAGCGCGCGCAGGCGGUCCCUUAAGUCUGAUGUGAAAGCCCCCGGCUUAACCGGGGAGGGUCAUUGGAAACUGGGGGACUUGAGUGCAGAAGAGAAGAGCGGAAUUCCACGUGUAGCGGUGAAAUGCGUAGAGAUGUGGAGGAACACCAGUGGCGAAGGCGGCUCUUUGGUCUGUAACUGACGCUGAGGCGCGAAAGCGUGGGGAGCAAACAGGAUUAGAUACCCUGGUAGUCCACGCCGUAAACGAUGAGUGCUAAGUGUUAGAGGGUUUCCGCCCUUUAGUGCUGCAGCUAACGCAUUAAGCACUCCGCCUGGGGAGUACGGCCGCAAGGCUGAAACUCAAAGGAAUUGACGG
rnacentral:rRNA from 1 species